UUCUGGCUCAGGAUGAACGCUGGCGGCGUGCUUAACACAUGCAAGUCGAACGAGGGUUGCUGGUUGAAGUUUCGGAUGGAAACCGGUAAUUCCUAGUGGCGGACGGGUGAGUAACGCGUGGGGAACCUGCCCCGCUCCGGGGGAUACCAGCUGGAAACGGCUGUUAAUACCGCAUAAGCGCACAGUAUCGCAUGAUGCAGUGUGAAAAACUCCGGUGGAACGGGAUGGCCCCGCGUCUGAUUAGCCAGUUGGCAGGGUAACGGCCUACCAAAGCGACGAUCAGUAGCCGGCCUGAGAGGGCGACCGGCCACAUUGGGACUGAGACACGGCCCAAACUCCUACGGGAGGCAGCAGUGGGGAAUAUUGCACAAUGGGGGAAACCCUGAUGCAGCCGACGCCGCGUGAGUGAGGAAGUAUUUCGGUAUGUAAAGCUCUAUCAGCAGGGAAGAAGAUGACGGUACCUGCACAAGAAGCCCCGGCUAACUACGUGCCAGCCGCCGC
rnacentral:rRNA from 1 species